UACGAAGGGGGCUAGCGUUGCUCGGAAUCACUGGGCGUAAAGGGUGCGUAGGCGGGUCUUUAAGUCAGGGGGGAAAUCCUGGAGCUCAACUCCAGAACUGCCUUUGAUACUGAGGAUCUUGAGUUCGGGAGAGGUGAGUGGAACUGCGAGUGUAGAGGUGAAAUUCGUAGAUAUUCGCAAGAACACCAGUGGCGAAGGCGGCUCACUGGCCCGAUACUGACGCUGAGACGCGAAAGCGUGGGGAGCGAACCGG
rnacentral:rRNA from 1 species